AUCCAGGUGUCGAGUCCUAAAUAGGACGAAAUGCGCAUCCUGGAU
rnacentral:hammerhead_ribozyme from 1 species